rfam:Candidatus Microthrix parvicella RN1 genomic scaffold, 2605
GGGGCUGAUCGGUUUCGACGUUGAGACCAGGAAGUCGCUCGUGCGACCCGAGUUGCUCAGACUCGCUAAACGGGGCAACCAAAGAACCGGCAACUCCGAGUUCGCUCUCGCAGCCUGAUUUAGUUCAGUCUGAAGAGAGUCAUAGUGACCAGCAAUGGCGCACGGGGCCAGAUCCUCACAGCCCGGCAACAGAAGUGAGGAUGGACAGCAGGGAAAGACCGCUGACGGUGUGAAAGAACGCUGACUUCGAGGAAAGACUCGGCGGAGAUCGCAAGAUCAGUUGACCCGCCAGCGUGGCAACCGCAAGCCACACGUCGGGAACGGUCGUAGCGCGGACGGUAACCACUUAGCGGACGGGGGUUCGAUUCCCCCCAGCUCCACCA